rnacentral:rRNA from 1 species
AGUCAAGUAAUUAAGUGCAUGUGGUGGAUGCCUUGGCAGUCAGAGGCGAUGAAAGACGUGAUAGCCUGCGAAAAGCUCCGGGGAGGCGGCAAAUAUCCUUUGAUCCGGAGAUGUCUGAAUGGGGGAACCCACCUACUUUAAGGUAGGUAUUGCAACAUGAAUACAUAGUGUUGCAAGGCGAACGAGGGGAAGUGAAACAUCUCAGUACCCUUAGGAAAAGAAAUCAAUUGAGAUUCCCUCAGUAGCGGCGAGCGAACGGGGAUCAGCCCAUUAAGUUAUGUGUGUUUUAGUGGAACGCUCUGGGAAGUGCGAACGUAGAGGGUGAUAUUCCCGUACACGAAAGGGCACACAUAAUGAUGACGAGUAGGGCGAGGCACGUGAAACCUUGUCUGAAUAUGGGGGGACCAUCCUCCAAGGCUAAAUACUCCUGACUGACCGAUAGUGAACCAGUACCGUGAGGGAAAGGCGAAAAGAACCCCUGUGAGGGGAGUGAAAUAGAUCCUGAAACCGCAUGCAUACAAGCAGUGGGAGCACCUUCGUGGUGUGACUGCGUACCUUUUGUAUAAUGGGUCAGCGACUUAUAUUCAGUAGCGAGGUUAACCGUAUAGGGGAGCCGUAGAGAAAUCGAGUCUUAAUAGGGCGUUUAGUUGCUGGGUAUAGACCCGAAACCAGGCGAUCUAUCCAUGAGCAGGUUGAAGGUUGGGUAACACUAACUGGAGGACCGAACCCACUGUCGUUGAAAAGCCAGGGGAUGACUUGUGGAUAGGGGUGAAAGGCUAAUCAAGCCUGGUGAUAGCUGGUUCUCCCCGAAAGCUAUUUAGGUAGCGCCUCGGACGAAUACCAUAGGGGGUAGAGCACUGUUUCGGCUAGGGGGUCAUCCCGACUUACCAAACCGAUGCAAACUCCGAAUACCUAUGAGUACUAUCCGGGAGACAGACUGCGGGUGCUAACGUCCGUAGUCAAGAGGAAAACAAUCCAGACCGCCAGCUAAGGCCCCAAAAUCAUAGUUAAGUGGGAAACGAUGUGGGAAGGCAUAGACAGCUAGGAGGUUGGCUUAGAAGCAGCCACCCUUUAAAGAAAGCGUAAUAGCUCACUAGUCGAGUCGGCCUGCGCGGAAGAUGUAACGGGGCUAAAACUAUGUGCCGAAGCUGCGGAUGUAUACUUUGUAUACGUGGUAGGGGAGCGUUCUGUAAGCCGAUGAAGGUGUGUUGAGAAGCAUGCUGGAGGUAUCAGAAGUGCGAAUGCUGACGUGAGUAACGACAAAACGGGUGAAAAACCCGUUCGCCGAAAGACCAAGGGUUCCAGUCCAACGUUAAUCGGGGCUGGGUGAGUCGACCCCUAAGGCGAGGCCGAAAGGCGUAGUCGAUGGGAAAAUGGUUAAUAUUCCAUUACUUCUGUGUAAUGCGAUGAGAGGACGGAGAAGGCUAAAUCAGCCUGGCGUUGGUUGUCCAGGUGAAAGGAUGUAGGCAUGUAUCUUAGGCAAAUCCGGGGUACUCUAUGCUGAGAUCUGAUAGCAAGCUGUACUUGUACAGCGAAGUGGUUGAUGCCAUGCUUCCAGGAAAAGUCUCUAAGCUUCAGUUACACAGGAAUCGUACCCGAAACCGACACAGGUGGUCAGGUCGAGUAGACCAAGGCGCUUGAGAGAACUCUGCUGAAGGAACUAGGCAAAAUGGUACCGUAACUUCGGGAGAAGGUACGCUGUUGUUGGUGAUGGAACUCGCUUCCUGAGCUGACGACAGCCGCAGAAACCAGGCCGCUGCAACUGUUUAUUAAAAACAUAGCACUCUGCAAACACGAAAGUGGACGUAUAGGGUGUGAUGCCUGCCCGGUGCUGGAAGGUUAAUUGAUGGGGUUAGCGUAAGCGAAGCUCUUGAUCGAAGCCCCAGUAAACGGCGGCCGUAACUAUAACGGUCCUAAGGUAGCGAAAUUCCUUGUCGGGUAAGUUCCGACCUGCACGAAUGGCAUAAUGAUGGCGGCGCUGUCUCCAGCAGAGGCUCAGUGAAAUCGAAAUCGCUGUGAAGAUGCAGUGUACCCGCGGCUAGACGGAAAGACCCCGUGAACCUUUACUGCAGCUUGACACUGAACUUUGACCUUACUUGUGUAGGAUAGGUGGGAGGCUUUGAAGCUGGAACGCUAGUUCCAGUGGAGCCGUCCUUGAAAUACCACCCUGGUAAUGUUGAGGUUCUAACUCUGUCCCGUGAUCCGGGACGAGGACCGUGUCUGGUGGGUAGUUUGACUGGGGCGGUCUCCUCCUAAAGAGUAACGGAGGAGUACGAAGGUGCGCUCAGCGUGGUCGGAAAUCACGCGUAGAGUAUAAAGGCAAAAGCGCGCUUAACUGCGAGACCCACAAGUCGAGCAGGUACGAAAGUAGGUCUUAGUGAUCCGGUGGUUCUGUAUGGAAGGGCCAUCGCUCAACGGAUAAAAGGUACUCUGGGGAUAACAGGCUGAUACCGCCCAAGAGUUCAUAUCGACGGCGGUGUUUGGCACCUCGAUGUCGGCUCAUCUCAUCCUGGGGCUGAAGCAGGUCCCAAGGGUAUGGCUGUUCGCCAUUUAAAGAGGUACGCGAGCUGGGUUUAGAACGUCGUGAGACAGUUCGGUCCCUAUCUACCGUGGGUGCUGGAAAUUUGAGAGGAUCUGCUCCUAGUACGAGAGGACCAGAGUGGACGAACCUCUGGUGUACCGGUUGUGACGCCAGUCGCAUCGCCGGGUAGCUAUGUUCGGAAGGGAUAACCGCUGAAAGCAUCUAAGCGGGAAGCCUACCUCAAGAUAAGAUUUCCCUAGGACUUUAUGUCCUCUAAAGAGCCGUUCGAGACUAGGACGUUGAUAGGUUGGAUGUGGAAGCAUAGUGAUAUGUGAAGCUGACCAAUACUAAUUGCUCGUGAGGCUUGACUAUACAACACCC